rnacentral:rRNA from 1 species
GAGCACGAAGGUUGGCUAAUCCUGGUCGGACAUCAGGAGGUUAGUGCAAUGGCAUAAGCCAGCUUGACUGCGAGCGUGACGGCGCGAGCAGGUGCGAAAGCAGGUCAUAGUGAUCCGGUGGUUCUGAAUGGAAGGGCCAUCGCUCAACGGAUAAAAGGUACUCCGGGGAUAACAGGCUGAUACCGCCCAAGAGUUCAUAUCGACGGCGGUGUUUGGCACCUCGAUGUCGGCUCAUCACAUCCUGGGGCUGAAGUAGGUCCCAAGGGUAUGGCUGUUCGCCAUUUAAAGUGGUACGCGAGCUGGGUUUAGAACGUCGUGAGACAGUUCGGUCCCUAUCUGCCGUGGGCGCUGGAGAACUGAGGGGGGCUGCUCCUAGUACGAGAGGACCGGAGUGGACGCAUCACUGGUGUUCGGGUUGUCAUGCCAAUGGCACUGCCCGGUAGCUAAAUGCGGAAGAGAUAAGUGCUGAAAGCAUCUAAGCACGAAACUUGC